CGUGUUACAAUGGGGGGUACAGAGGGCCGCUACCACGCGAGUGGAUGCCAAUCCCCAAAACCUCUCUCAGUUCGGACUGGAGUCUGCAACCCGACUCCACGAAGCUGGAUUCGCUAGUAAUCGCGCAUCAGCCACGGCGCGGUGAAUACGUUCCCGGGCCUUGUACACACCGCCCGUCAAGCCAUGGGAGCCGGGGGUACCUGAAGUGCGUAACCGCGAGGAGCGCCCUAGGGUAAAACUGGUGACUGGGGCUAAGUCGUAACAAGGUACC
rnacentral:rRNA from 1 species